UUAAUUGAAGCCAAAAAGAAGCAUAUCACUGUUAAUGAUAUAAUUGAAUUUUAAUUCCAAUUAAG
rnacentral:tRNA from 1 species